rnacentral:lncRNA from 1 species
UCUCGCUUUGUCACCCAGGAUGGAGUGCAGAGUGGCGUGAUCUCGGCUCGCUGCAGCCUCUGCCUCCUGGGUUCAAGCAAUUAUCUUGCCUCAGACUACUGAGUAGCUGGGAGUAAAGGUACCUGCCACCAUGCCCGGCUAAUUUUUUUUUUGUAUUUUUAGUAGAGACAUUUACUGCUAUAAAGUUCUCUUAAACACUAACUAUAUUACACGAAUUUUAAUAAGUUACAUUUCUGUUUUCAUUCAGUAAAAACUUGUUUUCUGAUUUUCCCUGAGACCUCAUCUUUGCCCCACAGAUUAUUUAGAAGUGUGUUUAGUUUUCUUGAAUCCCUCUUCCAACCUGUAUUAUUGGGUCAUUUCAUCUCUUCAGCUCUUAUUUUCCUCAUCUGUGAAAUAGUUACACCAUACUUAAAGGUUUGUCAUCAGGAAUAAAUAAAGUAAUAUCUGUAAAGUAUUUAACAGUGUCCAGAAAAUCAGUGGACAAUGUUGGCCAGUCUUGUCUUGAACUCCUGACCUCAUGAUUCACCGGCCUCAGCCUCUCAAAGUGCUGGGAUUCCAAUUUGUGAUUCCCUAGAUGCAUGAGAAGAUAAGUGAUAAUGUGAGAUAGCUUGAGGUUUUGCAGUGAGUG